rnacentral:lncRNA from 1 species
GUUAGAUGCUAGGAAGACCACUAAGAUAAAAUAAUGGUUCAUCUGAUGACAAGAUAUUUCAGAUGUGAGGACUAAGUUUGCCUUCAUUUACCAUCUUCGUGUUUGAUUUUGGAGGCUCUAUUUAAGCUGGAAAUGACUCUCCCUGAAGUUAAUUCCUCAAUUGUCCUUGCACUGUCAGAUGCCUUUCUUUCUGAAGGAUUUCCUUAAUCCGCUGUGGUACUUUAAGUGGCUGUCUUGAUAACACCAAAUGUCAUCUGGCAAGUGAAUGACCUUACCUGCUAUCCACAUAUAUUGUCAGAGGGAACUGUGAACUUUGUUUUGGCUUUAAUUUUAAGAGCCUGAAUCCCAAGGCAGAUAUCACAAACAUGAAGACCUAUCCUAUUCCUGCUUCUGUACAUUGCUGGAGAAUAAUAGAAUUAUUGCUCUUUUUAUUUGUGUUUAUUUUUCUAUUUUUGGAAGAGCUACUCAUUGUUAAGUGAUAGAGAAAGAAUGCCAAUAAACCAAUACCUGGGUGAAUCAUGGACUGAGAGUAACCCUGCUGCGGAUGCUACAAAGAUACUGCUG